GACGAACGCUGGCGGCGUGCUUAACACAUGCAAGUCGAGCGGAGCGGCGAACGGGUGAGUAACGCGUGAGUAACUGCCCCCCUCUCUGGGAUCACAGUUGGAAACGGCUGCUUAUACCGGAUAGUGGGGGAUGACUCGCGUCCUAUCCGCUUGUUGGUGGGGUAGUUGCCUACCAAGGCGACGUCGGGUAGCCGGCCUGCGUGGGCGACCGGCCAAAUGGGGCUGAGAUACGGCCCAAGCUCCUCAGGGAGGCAUCAGUGGGGAAUAUAGCACAAUGGGGGAAACCCAGUUGCAGAAACGCCGCGUGCGGGAUGACGGCCUUCGGGUUGUAAACCGCGUUCAGCCAUGACGCGGUAGUGGCACAAGAAGCACCGGCUAACUACGUGCCAGCAGCCGCUGUAAUAC
rnacentral:rRNA from 1 species